UACGAAGGGGACUAGCGUUGUUCGGAAUCACUGGGCGUAAAGCGCACGUAGGCGGUCAGGCAAGUCGGGUGUGAAAGCCCUGGGCUCAACCUGGGAAUUGCAUUCGAAACUAUCUGACUCGAGUAUGGGAGAGGGAAGCGGAAUUUCCGGUGUAGCGGUGAAAUGCGUAGAUAUCGGAAGGAACACCAGUGGCGAAGGCGGCUUCCUGGACUAAUACUGACGCUGAGGUGCGAAAGCGUGGGGAGCAAACAGG
rnacentral:rRNA from 1 species